rnacentral:rRNA from 1 species
CCUACGGGAGGCAGCAGUGAGGAAUAUUGGUCAAUGGACGAGAGUCUGAACCAGCCAAGUAGCGUGAAGGAUGACUGCCCUAUGGGUUGUAAACUUCUUUUAUAUGGGAAUAAAAUGUUCCACGUGUGUGAUUUUGUAUGUACCAUAUGAAUAAGGAUCGGCUAACUCCGUGCCAUCAGCCGCGGUAAUACGGAGGAUCCGAGCGUUACCCGGAUUUAUUGGGUUUAAAGGGAGCGUAGGUGGAUUGUUAAGUCAGUUGUGAAAGUUUGCGGCUCAACCGUAAAAUUGCAGUUGAAACUGGCAGUCUUGAGUACAGUAGAGGUGAGCGGAAUUCGUGGUGUAGCGGUGAAAUGCUUAGAUAUCACGAAGAACUCCGAUUGCGAAGGCAGCUCACUGGACUGCAACUGACACUGAGGCUCGAAAGUGUGGGUAUCAAACAGGAUUAGAUACCCCAGUAGUC